GAUGAAGAACGCAGCGAAAUGCGAUACGUAAUGUGAAUUGCAGAAUUCAGUGAAUCAUCGAAUCUUUGAACGCAUAUUGCGCCUUCUGGUAUUCCGGAGGGCAUGCUUGUUUGAGUAUCAGUAACAACCUCAACUCUUCUUCAUUGCGGAGAAAGAGUUGGAUUUGAGCAUUUCCACAAGUUCGUCUUGGAGGAUUGCUUGAAAUAUGAGGUUCGGCCGGCAGUUGCCUGGGCUACAAGCAUUUCAUACUUAAUCCCGUCAAACUGAUUAUAUCCUUUGCUGCAGCCAACAUACAGGGUAACUUUGCCAGUGUUCCGACUGAUGCAGGAAAGUUGAGAACAGCUUUUUGCUUUCUCUUCUAAACUCGAUCUCAAAUCAAGUAAGACUACCCGCUGAACUUAAGCAUAUCAAUAAGCGGAGGA
rnacentral:misc_RNA from 1 species